CGCGAAUGUCCCUCUUGGAGUCCCCGGCAGGACUCCAGCCAGAACUGAGGCACUAGCAGGUGUGUAAAGCUGGUCAUGAUUCAGCACUGCUGGAUUCAAUUCAAGCCCAGUAAUAGAAGAGCCUCCCUGAGCUUGUGGUAGCCAUACCUGCCAAUCAUCUUCCCAAGGGCUGAGACUCCAGAGUGAGUCCUCAAGGACUUCUUUCAGGACUCACAGAAACCUCCACCCUGGUGAUGACACACAGGGACUGUUUUCUUGUUCUUAGUCUGAACGACUGCCAAGAAGGAGGGCAACAGUAGAACAGUCAAAUCCCAGGCUCUCCCCAUAGCUUCUAAUCUCAGACCUUGUUAAACUCCUUUCUGAGCCCAAGGACAAAAGUCACUUGAACAAAUGAGUUUGAGUCAUGAAUGAAAACUCUCACUCUUUCCACGAGAAAGAAUUAAGAGAUGGACAGGUUGGAAGUGUGUCUGCUGGGUGCGCUCCACCACCUGACAAGGACGGCAGUGCUGUUCUGGCUUUCAGAGGAGUUUCUAUCUCAGAGCUGAAGAACCACAGCGUCCUCCAGGCCCUGACAGCAGAGGCGAACGGCUGGGAGCCCGGUGUUGUGAGUACAGAAGUCCUCCAAGCCCAAGAAGAAUGGGAAGCUGUGGACAGCAUCCACCUGGAGACAGGGAGCCGGGCCAGCAUGGACCAGCCUGGGCAGCUCAUCUCCUUCAGUGAGGCCCUGCAGCAUUUCCAGACAGUGGACCUCUCCUCCUUCAAGAAAAGAAUCCAGCCCACCAUCCGAAGGACUGGGCUCGCUGCCCUCCGGCACUGCCUCUUCGGGCCUCCGAAGCUCCACCAGGGCCUCCGUGAAGAAAGGGACUUGGUCUUGACCAUCGCUCAGUGUGGCCUGGAUAGCCAAGAUCCCAUGCAUGGCCGAGUCCUCCAGACCAUCUAUAAGAAGCUGACUGGCUCCAAGUUUGACUGUGCCCUCCAUGGAGACCACUGGGAAGAUCUGGGCUUUCAGGGAACAAAUCCAGCCACAGACCUCAGAGGAGCAGGCUUCCUUGCCCUCCUGCAUCUCCUGUACCUGGUGAUGGACUCAAAGACUUUGCUGAUGGCCCGGGAGAUUCUCCGCCUGUCUCGUCAUCAUAUCCAGUGUCUUAAAACUUCACUUCAAGCCCUUAUGAAUCUUGAAAAUACAGUUUUCCAGGAGGCACGUAGGCAGCCACAGGAACAGCUCAGGGACACAGCCCUGCCAGCGGCCAGUCCUAACUUUGGACUGACUUUUGUUAGACCUUUGACUGCCAAGAGUAAAGAAAACCAGAGGCCUAAUUCAGAGGCUGAAACAACAGCUGCAAUUCCCCUUCUGUUUGAUGUCUGUGAAUAUCACGCGUAUCGCCAUCCAGGCCUUAAGGGAGGAGUGUCUCUCCAGGGAGUGUAACCGGCAGCAGAAAGUGAUACCCGUGGUGAACAGCUUCUAUGCCGCCACCUUCCUCCGCCUGGCGCACGUCUGGAGGACACAGCACAAGACCAUCUCAGACUCAGGCUUUGUCCUCAAGGAUUUGGAGGCGUCGGCCAAGAAGAGCCCCAAACGGCUGCUCAAAACCCUGGAGAUCUACUUGGCUGGAGUGUCAAAGGGACAGGCCUCCCUGUUGGGGACACAGAAGUGCUCUGGGCCACAGGCCCCUCACUCCAAGGAUCUCACUUUCACAGGCGUGUGUGACCUGUCAUCACACUCGUCCGAAGGGACGUGGCUGAUCUGACCAACCCCGGUGGCCCCUGGCGAGGAAGCCUUGGAGGGGCUUUCAGAGGGCGGAUCCUGGCUGGGCCUCGCCCCUUCCGGUCCUAGCGGCAGGAAUGUAGGACGCCCCUGGGCCUGGUGGGUGGAGCCAGGGGCCCUCACCUGCUUGAGACAUCGGGGGCCAUUAGAUUAGACUCACUCUCUGGAGCCCUGCUUUCAGGGCGAGGAGAGCUUUGCUUUAUUACUAGUUGAGCGACAGCUUCCGUAGUCGGAUUCCAGGUAGUAUCAGUGAUAGCGAAUGGAUCAUCAGGUGGGAGACCCCAUAUGCAUGUUCCACACAGUUCUCCAUCAAAGAUGCUCCCAAGUAAAAGCGCUAGAACCUGGCAGUGGGUCUUUCAGGCCCUGGAGUCCACAGGACAGGGACCAGACGGGCACUGAGUAGUUAGAAUGUGAAGGGAGAGGGUAGUCGCAGCAGCAGCCAACAGGGGGCGGUGUGAGCUAAGAGUGCAAGCCUUUUCUGGUCUGGCGCUCACCCCACCCUCAUCUCUCCCCAUCCCUCCUCCCACUGUUUGAGAUAGGGAACCAGGCUGCAGCUGGGCUUCCCUCUUGGAGGCUGCACAUGUCCCAUCAGGGCUGGUUUUCUGGCCUGGUUGAAGGAAGGAGGAAAUUCACACACCAGCAGUUUUUGAAUAAAAUAAUUCUUCUAGGUUUAGGAUCUCAAGGGUUUUCCUUCCAGACACAUUUUGCACCAUCCUGUGGCCAUUAUCCCAGGGUCCCCCUUUAGAGCCAGGCACUCUGGCCAGCUGACAGCCUGGUUGUUGUCGGCACUGGUCACAGGCCCCGGGAGAGAAGGCUACUGUGCCCUGGCCACACUCCUGCCUAUUUCACAGGCCAUCCAGCCUCAUCCUGCUGCACUUACAGACCCAGAGACCCUGCACACUGUAGCCACUGGUCGAGGUGGCCCUGGCUGUUCUUAAGGGUGGCUGUUGUGAGGCAUCCACACAGGGUUUUUCCCAUAUUUGCUUCUGGGGAAGCUACCUGUCACUUUUCACUUGCAAAGGGGCCUCCAGGGCUUUGGAGCUAGGGAACAGGGGCCAGGCGAGAGCCCCACCUGGCUUCUCUCCUAUCCUCUGACCUCCCUCAAGUAGAGUCAUGGAAGAUAGCUGUCCAGCCCCCGCGGGCAUCUCCAAGUCUGACCGGGUACAGGGGGACCCAUCACAAAGGUGAAGAUGACAGACAGCCACCCAAGCAUGGAAGGAACCCAUCAGCAGGAUGCCUCAAGGGUAGGGCUGGUAACGGAUCUGCUGUUUGCUGUUUGUCUUUGCCUGACCUGAACUAAUCCUGUGCCCUCCUCCUUCGUCCUGACCAGCAGAGAUGGCAGCAGAGAGAUUACUGGGCCUGGUGGGCUUAGAAUGUAACCCUCCCCCACCCAAUCCCAACUUUGGAGUGUCAAGUUUAGUGAUUCCUACAGAUUCCAUUCCCUUGCUCUGAGACCUGGAGGCCACCUCAACAGACUUUGACCAUUAGUGCUCAGCCCCUGGCAUGGCAGGGACCAGCCCAAGAGAGCCUCUGGCUGGAGGGGAGGCCAGUGGCCCCUGCAGAAGCCUAUUCUGUGUUACUGCCAGGGGGAUGCUCUCCAUACAGUUUAGGACUUUUAGGACCUGGAGACAUUAGGAAUAACUGUCCAGGGAUUAAGCUGCGAUUCUGCAGAUGGACAGAAUUCUGUGGUUGUGGAGGGAUGCCUAAACCCUCUGAAAAUAGAUAACAAAAAUCUUAAA